rnacentral:rRNA from 1 species
AUUGAACGCUGGCGGAAUGCUUUACACAUGCAAGUCGAACGGCAGCACGGGGCAACCUGGUGGCGAGUGGCGAACGGGUGAGUAAUACAUCGGAACGUGCCCAAUCGUGGGGGAUAACGUAGCGAAAGUUACGCUAAUACCGCAUACGAUCUACGGAUGAAAGCGGGGGAUCGCAAGACCUCGCGCGAAUGGAGCGGCCGAUGUCAGAUUAGGUAGUUGGUGGGGUAAAGGCUCACCAAGCCAACGAUCUGUAGCUGGUCUGAGAGGACGACCAGCCACACUGGAACUGAGACACGGUCCAGACUCCUACGGGAGGCAGCAGUGGGGAAUUUUGGACAAUGGGCGCAAGCCUGAUCCAGCCAUUCCGCGUGCAGGAUGAAGGCCUCGG